UACGUAGGGGGCAAGCGGUUGUCCGGAUUUAUUGGGCGUAAAGAGCAGUGUAGGCGGCCAGGUAGGUGGGUUGUGAAAACUGGAGGCUCCAACCUCCAAGACGGUCGACGGAAACCGUGUGGCUAGAGUCCGGAAGAGGAGAGUGGAAUUCCGUGGUGUAAGCGGUGAAAUGCGCAGAUAAUCAGGAAGAACACCAAUGGCGAAGGC
rnacentral:rRNA from 1 species